rnacentral:lncRNA from 1 species
AUGGAGAAGAAGGAGCGAGUGGAGUUUAUUCUGGAGCAGAUGAGGCUCUGCCUAGCCGUGAAGGAUUACAUUCGCACACAGAUCAUCAGCAAAAAAAUUAACACCAAAUUCUUCCAGGAAGAAAACACAGAGAAAUUAAAGUUGAAGUACUAUAACUUAAUGAUUCAGCUGGAUCAGCAUGAGGGGUCCUAUCUGUCCAUCUGUAAGCACUACAGAGCCAUCUACGACACUCCCUGCAUUCAGGCAGAAAGUGACAAGUGGCAGCAGGUAAGCAGUGGCCUGAUGCUAGGACAGCCUCAGGGCAGGGUGCUGCUCAGUCUAGAACCCUUGCCUGGCUGGCUCAGGGUCCUCAGUGUGAUUCCUACUUGAGAAGGAAAGGGGGAAAGAUGACUUGCAUUUUUACCUGCUUUUAUAGCCUGUAACUGCCAUAAUGACAUUCUCCUCCAAGGUGCUGCUUCCUGUUCAUCUGUCUGGCUAAAUGGGACU